AGGGGAGAGGUUGUAUCUUGUUUUCGUAGGAGAUUUGUCUCUUUCCCACAGUAACACAGCUUCUGUCAUUGGGUCGUAUCCCUUUGGCUUUGUUGUCGGAUCCCCCAACACAUAGUACAUUGCCUCAUCCCAUUUGCCUAUCAGGAUAGCUACUUUCUCCCCAGUUCUAUUGUCUUGCACAAACCCAUGAACCUGAAAGAUUAUUUACAAAAACCAUUAUGAAUUUUUAUUAAAAUGCAGAUAAUGAUAUACCUAUGGAUCAGAAA